rnacentral:rRNA from 1 species
UACGGAGGGUGCAAGCGUUGUUCGGAAUUACUGGGCGUAAAGCGCGUGCAGGCGGCCUUUUAAGUCUCGUGGUGAAAUGCCGGGGCUCAACCCCGUGCCCGCCGGAGAUACUGGGAGGCUGGAGACAUGUAGAGGCAAGCGGAAUUCCGGGUGUAGCGGUGGAAUGCGUAGAGAUCCGGAAGAACACCGGAGGCGAAGGCGGCUUGCUGGGCAUUGUCUGACGCUGAGGCGCGAAAGCGUGGGUAGCAAACGGG